GACGAACGCUGGCGGCGUGCUUAACACAUGCAAGUCGAGCGGUAAGGCCCUUUCGGGGGUACACGAGCGGCGAACGGGUGAGUAACACGUGGGUGACCUGCCCUCAGCUCUGGGAUAAGCCUGGGAAACCGGGUCUAAUACUGGAUAUGACUCCAUGACGCAUGUUGUGGGGUGGAAAGCCUUGUGCGGCCGAGGAUGGGCCCGCGGCCUAUCAGCUUGUUGGUGGGGUGAUGGCCUACCAAGGCGACGACGGGUAGCCGGCCUGAGAGGGCGACCGGCCACACUGGGACUGAGACACGGCCCAGACUCCUACGGGAGGCAGCAGUGGGGAAUCUUGCGCAAUGGGCGAAAGCCUGACGCAGCGACGCCGCGUGAGGGAUGACGGCCUGGUGU
rnacentral:rRNA from 1 species